ensembl:lincRNA
UUGUCAAUCUCUCUCUUUCUCUCUCCCUCUCUGUCCAUCCAUCCAUCUCUCAUCUUCCCAGGUCUCCGCUCGCCCUCAUUCUCUCCUAUGACAACUGCAAGGGGAGCAAGGAUCCGGAAGCUCUGAGUUUUUGACAUUACAGCUCUUAUUAUUCAAGAGCAAAGAAAGAACUUCUCUCUAGCUUUCAAGUACCAAGUUCCUUAAAAAGAAGAAGAAGGAGGAGGAAAAGGAGGAGGAGGAGAAGACAAUGACCUUGAUUAGUCCUAACUGGGCCACAUGUCCUCCCUUGGAUCAUACCUGGGGCAAAGGAAUUAGGCACCAAGACUGGCUGUUCCUCAUUCGUGUGUCUACUCUUUCCUCUGGAGUGAUGUUAACAUCAGCCCCACCAGAGUCAAUGUUGGAGACAGACAGCAAUGGAGGGAACACAAAGAAGGAACGUGGGAGAGAGAGAAGCAGGCUUCCUACUGAGCAGGCAGCCUGAUGGGAUCAUGACCUGAGCCGAAGGCAGACGCUUAAUGACUGAGCCAUGCAGGUGCCCUUCUUUUUGUUAAAUUUAGAUGUAACUACAUUUAUUGAGCAAAUGAUAAUAAUAGCUAUGGCAUAACUUAUCACAUUAACACAGCUAACAUCUAUUGAACACUUACUACCUUGCCUGGUAGGCACUGUGCUACAGACCACCUUACUUUCACCAUACUACUGAAUCCAUACAAUAGCCCUAAGAGACAGGAAAUCUUAUUCCCUUUUGACAUAUGAGAACACCGAAGCAGAAAGAAGAGAACAAGCUCUCUCAAGGUCACAAAACCAUUGAAUGGCAUUGCCAGGGAUCAAACCCUGGUGUGACCCCAAACUCCAUGCCCUCAACUCUCUGAGUCUGUUAGCUAAAGGACUAAGGUGCUUCACGUAUCCAUUUCCCACACACAAAGUCUCUGGGGUGCAGGUUUUGUUAGUUACCUUUGCAGGUGAUCAUAACAGGGCUCAAGGAGUUUAGGAAACAUGCCCAAAUUUCUAAAGCUGCAAGCAGUAAUUGCCUGAAGUGGAUUUCAGAGCCAACUAACUUCUUACCCUGAGCUCUUACUCCUACUGUGCACUUCUCGGCAGAGUUAAGGGAUUUAAAUGUGUUAUAAGUUUACUUAUUUGAAAAUUUCAAGAAAACAGGCUUAAAUGAUUAAUGUAUCAGUGUUUGGCUAUAUUAAAAACAUGCCAUUUAUUCAGAGUCUCAAUUCUAUUACAGUCGAGGGUAACAAUAGAGAGUGAGCGCUAGAGUAAAUCACAGACUCCCACCAAUUUUCUGGGAAGAAAAUGUCAGAGGGGGAAUCUAUGCUAUAGAAGAAGGAGAAAUGUACCUACACUAGCCAGUAGAAAUAGAGUCGAUUGUUGAAUCCAGGAGGCAUUAUGCCAGCCAGCCAGAACUCAGAGAAAGAGAAAACAAACAGAGAAAUUGGGCAGAAUCAUCUGUACCCUUUAAUCACAAUAGAGCAGCCAGAACAGGCCACGCUGAGUUAAACAUCCAUCGCAACCGCACUGCACAUAGCCAACUCCGAGUCACUCCGGCCCUAGCACCAACUCUUACUGUAACGGCAUCAUAAUGAGAAAAUGACAUGCAAAUGAAGUAAGCAGUGGUUAGGGGCAGUCACAGACCUGUAAUUGCCUCAAUUUGGGGGGAGUUGUGGUGGGCUUCGGGGGAUGGUGUGCAAUUCAGAACAAGAAUAAUUUUCAUGAAAUGACAGACCAUGACACCUGUGAGAGUUAACCUGCGUGGCCUGUGCACUCAAGGGAAGGAGCAGAGCCUGAGUCCUGUGACCUUGUCACGUCUCAAGUGGACUCCAAGUCUGGGUUAAUCUAAGUGAUAAAGCAUGUAGAUUUCCUCAUUGUCUUGCCACACCUGAUCACUGAUGCAUGGAAAGGAACCCUAGAAAUCAGAAACAAUGGGCUGGAAUGAAUAAUUGGAAAAGUAGACCAUGUUUCUCAUAGCAGAAUCAACAACACAAAGGUACCAGUUCUCAAGGAGCACAAAGAGAGCCAACAAUGUGACCACUUUGAACCACUUCAAAAUCUUGAAAUUAAGGAAAACUUAAAGUUCCUAAUGAAACAAAGGUAAUUGGUUAAAAGAGUCCCUGAACAUAGGUUGGAAGGGGGUCUCGGAUUCGUAAAAUUCCCUUUCUCAGUAAGAAUUCUAACAAAUCAGAGAGUUUGGUAAUUAGGAAGGUGGGGAUGAGGCGUAUUACAGGAGAAGGUGUUUGGCAAGGUGGACAAGGAUCAGGCCCGUCAUAGUGGCAACAGGCUCAGAGGUAGUCCAGGAAAUUUUCAAGAUAUUUAUUUGUUUGUUUGUUUGUUUGUUUGUUUAUUUAUUUAUUUGGAGAGCAUGUGCUAGUGGGGAGGUGGGGGGAGGGAGAGAGAGGUUCAAGCAGGCUCCACACCCACCCCAAGGCUCACUCUCACUACCCUGAGAUCAAGACCUGAGCUGAAAUCAAGAGUCAGUUGCUUAGGUGACUGAACCACCCAGCCACCCCCUCUCGAUCCAAAUUUAGGUGGCUAUAUACACUAGCAGACUUGUAGACUAGGGAAUCAGGAACUUCUGUUUGCCUUCUGGAAUUAUAAGCAAAGACAGAAAGCUUUCCUCACUGCCUUUAGGCCAGAUGAAGUGUAUCACUUAGAGCAUAGGUAAUAAGCGUUACCUCACUGCGUGCUCAGAUCUGUCUUCCCCCAGUAGACUGUGAGCCCCUCACAGACAGAGAAGCCCCCUCACACAGCAAAGACCAAACAAAUAUUUAUUGGACAGAACAAAUGAAGAAAUAUUAAAGUCUACUUGUAUUGCGCCAACUCAUCUUGAAACCAUGUCAGGAGAGCAAUGGCAAGUCUUUGUUCCCGUGCAGACAUUCCUCUCCCGUUUAAACCCAAACUAAUUCAAAGUCUGAUAAUUCUGCCUUUUAAAUUAUUUCUUUCUGAGAGAUACUAUUGCUUG